CCUACGGGAGGCAGCAGUGAGGAAUAUUGGUCAAUGGACGCAAGUCUGAACCAGCCAUGCCGCGUGCAGGAAGACGGCUCUAUGAGUUGUAAACUUCUUUUGUACGAGGGUAAACUCAGAUACGUGUAUCUGUCUGAAAGUAUCUUACGAAUAAGGAUCGGCUAACUCCGUGCCAGCAGCCGCGGUAAUACGGAGGAUUCAAGCGUUAUCCGGAUUUAUUGGGUUUAAAGGGUGCGUAGGCGGUCGGAUAAGUUAGAGGUGAAAUCCCGAGGCUCAAAUUUGGAAUUGCCUGUGAUACUGUUCGGCUAGAGAGUAGUUGCGGUAGGCGGAAUGUAUGGUGUAGCGGGGAAAUGCGUAGAGAUCAUACAGAACACCGAUUGCGAAGGCAGCUUACCAAGCUACUUCUGACGUUGAGGCACGAAAGCGUGGGGAGCAAACAGGAUUAGAUACCCCAGUAGUC
rnacentral:rRNA from 1 species